CGGCCCAGAAACAGCUCAGGCUCACACGAGUUGCUCUCUGACAGCAGAACGGUGCGGUUGUGUUGUUUUUCUGAGGGAAGUGGCCUCGGCUGCCACGGCCUCACAAAACCCUGAGAAAGCCUGAGUGACAUCAGACGCUCGAGGAACACCACGGUAGUAAGGAAGAGAAAGGAGGAAAUACAGUGAAUGACAUCCUUCUGGAAGGAGAGAGGCUGCUCAACAGGACCGACUGGUUUGCUGUAAUGAGACCAGAAUGCAAAGAGGACUGGACGCGGACCUGGCGGAGGAAGAGAGGUUCCAGUCUCUGGAGAAAACAGCCAAUGAGGAAUCAAUCAUCUCAAGCUCCAUGGUCCAGAGCUUGGGAACAUCUACAAAAAUCAUGGUUUAACAUCAGGAAAUGGUUUUACUUGUGGUGAUAAGAAGCAGAGAAUGGGUUUCUGGCACAACCCGACCCACUUUCCAAAGCGCACGGACUUGAGGAGGGUCAAAACCCCAGGUGCACAUUUAAAGAAUUCCUGGUGACGGUCACUCACUUUCCUCACACCAGCACCUUUCAGCUCGUGGCUGUUAUCAGGUCGUGUAGGCCUUCUAUGUACCACAGGUGUUGCUGGACUUUAACCCAAUAGCGAUAAUAGAUCUUCUUAAAUUAGAUGUCAGCCAGAUCAUUAAAUUAUUCUAGACGUUAAUGUUUUAGUAUUUCAUGCCUGGUCAUGUUAUUAUACCUCUAUGAAAGCAGCUGGACUUGCUGGAGGUCGUUGAAGACGCGUCACCUCUCUUCCUGCCUCCUGUCCGUCUGACUGACAGCUAUGGUGUCCAUCAGACAUCUAAAUGUUGGGUUUGUUUUCCUUUUUAUCUUAUUUGCUCAAAUCCUGACAUCAAUGAAUACAGUCGUCUGACAAAGAUGGAAAAAGUCAGAUGUCCACAGCCAGAGACACGUGCACCGCUGGAGCAGAGACGAUAGACACAGGUUACAGAGCCAGUCGCGGAAAAGUUGACUUCUAGUUGUCAGACAUGGUGCGAUCAUGUGUUUUUGGGGGCGGAGCUAUGACGAAAGUGCUGAUGGGAAGGGGUGGGAUGUCUCGUUUGCACAAUUCCAAGUGUAGCCCUCUCUUGCUACCUUUCCCAGGAUUACCAACCCUAGCUUUAAAGCUUUGAGAGAUUUAUUUGAUUGCCCUUGUGGCCACGUUGGUUACGUCACUGACCAUGAUGCAUUGCAGCAUCUCAGGUUCAAGUCCACACAGGAACAUUUGAUGUUAUUCUCCAUCACUAUCUCCUCCCUUUUCUCUUCUCUACACUUCCUACUCUUAAAAAAAAGUGUAAAACAUGCAUUCUACUCGUUAUGGACACUGUUGAGAGAUUUUUAGAAUUCAGUAUAUAUUUGGUAUUCUUACACUUUUAACAAUUUGAAGAUUAAUCUCAGUAAAAGGAUCAA